CGAAGGAAAUAAAAAUUUCAAAAAGGAACAAAAUACCAACAAAAUUACCAUGGGAGUAAGCACCCGACGUCGAAUGCAGUUGCCAGCAAAAAUUUAACUCCUCGGUGGACAAACCUGCUGUGCGAUGAGGCCGAAGGAACCAAGCCGUAGAAAUCCCGCCCCGAACGGGCGGCGAUGGCGGCCUUCGCUCUGUAAGAAGAAAUAUGUCCUGAAUUAUAAAUAUAACUCCACGGCGGACAUACCUUGGGGUGGGCGAUUAGAAUCAUUUGGCGGAAUAUUAGGCCGCUGAAACGGGAUCCAAUGCGCU